ACACAUGCACAGAGGUCUGUCUGGCUGGCUCUCUCCCUGGCCCCCUCAACAAAGCUCUCUUGUCAAGCUGGCCAGGACGAGAAUAUUGAUGAGACAGAGGGCAACCAGGGUACAAACAGCCUGCUCAGCCGUCGUCCUCUGUGGGACAAGCUGUCACCUCUCCCUGGCCCCCUCUGACCUUCCAUGGCGCUCCCAGGCUCCCUCCCCAGUGGAGCAUCCAUGGGAUGGACAAACUGAGGCCCAGCUCCAUCUAAAACAAGCCUGAAAUCCUAGGAGGAGGAUGGUGGAGUCCCGCCAGGGAGCUUUGUCAAGUGCCUCUGUCAUCUCCACUUCCUGGAUCAGUUACAUCAUACCCUCCAGGGAAGUGUCCCGGGGGAUGGCCAGAUCAGCCUGUCCUUUGUGGCAGGAGGUGGGGAUUCUGACGGUUGUUUUCACAGCUCGGGAGGACAGGCAGCUCUCACCUCUGUUUGCCCUCCCUGGCCAGUGCAGCCAGCUCCUGAGUCUCGUGGUUAACUAAGGUCUCAGACCUCAGGCUGAAACUGCUACCCUGCUGUGUGACCUUGGGGUGGUGGUCACCUAAGUUCCCUUAGCCUCAGUUUCCUGCCUGGAGAGAUGGGAACGAUGAUAGCUACUAGGUAUUGUGAG
rnacentral:lncRNA from 1 species